AGCUGAUGAUGGAUGCUGCACACGUUGGCUCAAGCUAAGCAGCUUGGCCCCGACCAGGCAGCAGAGUCCCACCUGCUUGUUGUAUGAGUCAGCUGUUCUCAAGACUAUGCAGAACUGAGACAUAUAGGAACCUAUGGGGCGCCCUGAGCGCUCUGCUUGCAUGUACACCUGCCCUUCAGAAGAGGGCAUCAGAUCUCAUUGUAGAUGGCUAUGAGCCACCAUGUGGUUGCUGGGGAUUGAACUGAGGACCUCUGGAAGAGCAGACAGUGCUCUUAACCUCUGAGCCGUCUCUCCAGCUCCCCAAAAGGAUGGAAAUUUAUAUUACAGUUUGGAUAUACAGUCAAAACUGACUUAUAAAGAAAGACAGAUGCCUUACCUGCUCAGACAAAGAGCAAAUGGACCAAACACCAAAGAGGACAAGACAAGUAUCUCAGGUGAUGCUACCUCACAGAGUGCCUCGAAAGCUGUUUCCUCAAAAGAUGGCAUCCAGGACAACUCCGAAAUGGCCAGCUAAGAUUGCCCAGCCUUACAGAUGGUG